CUACGGGAGGCAGCAGUGAGGAAUAUUGCACAAUGGGGGGAACCCUGAUGCAGCAACGCCGCGUGGAGGAUGACGCAUUUCGGUGUGUAAACUCCUUUUAUAUGUCAAGAAAAUGACGGUAGCAUAUGAAUAAGCACCGGCUAACUCCGUGCCAGCAGCCGCGGUAAUACGGAGGGUGCAAGCGUUACUCGGAAUCACUGGGCGUAAAGGAGCGUAGGCGGGUUGGAAAGUCAGGUGUGAAAUCCUACAGCUUAACUGUAGAACGGCACUUGAAACUUCUAAUCUAGAGUAUGGGAGGGGGAAAGGGAAUUAGUGGGGUAGGGGUAAAAUCCGUAGAUAUCACUAGGAAAACCAAAAGCGAAGGCGAUCUCCUGGAACAUUACUGACGCUAAGGCGUGAAAGCGUGGGGAGCAAACAGGAUUAGAUACCCUUGUAGUC
rnacentral:rRNA from 1 species